rnacentral:rRNA from 1 species
GAUGAACGCUGGCGGCGUGCCUAAUACAUGCAAGUCGAGCGUACGGAGGAGAAGCUUGCCUCUCUGAUGUUAGAGGCGGAAGGGUGAGUAACACAUGGAUAACCUACCUAUAAGACAGGGCUAACUUCGGGAAACCGGAGCUAAUACCGGAUAAUAUUUUGAACGGCAUGGUUCAAAAGUGAAAGACGGUCUUGCUGUCACUUAUAGAUGGAUCCGCGCUGCAUUAGCUAGUUGGUAAGGUAAAGGCUUACCAAGGCAACGAUGCGUAGCCGACCUGAGAGGGUGAUCGGCCACACUGGAACUGAGACACGGUCCAGACUCCUACGGGAGGCAGCAGUGGGGAAUCUUGCGCAAUGGGCGAAAGCCUGACGGAGCAACGCCGCGUGAGGGAUGAAGGUCUUCGGGUCGUAAAACUCUGUUAUUAGGGAAGAACAGAUGUGUAAGUAACUGUGCAGAUAUUGACGGUACCUAAACAGAAAGCCACGGCUAACUACGUG